CCUGCAGAUGGCAACAAUGAACCAAUGUGAGUUUCAUGCAUGAAUUAGCUGAUUUACUUGCUAAUUUCCUCAUUUCAUUUGUAUUAUUUUCAUGAAGUGCAAGUGAAGCUGUGAGGGAAAGAGGAAGGGGAAGUGGCAGAGGAAGAGGAAGAGGAAGAGGUGCAGCACGGGGUGCCAAUGAUACAAACACAAGUGCGGCUGGACAACGAAGGGGAAGAGGAGGGACACCAGGGAGGCUAGCAAGUUUGUUAGGUUUAGAUGCUUAAAUAUGUGCUGUUUGACACCUAGACUAGUAAAAAACUCACUAUUACUAGGUUCUUUUGUUGGACAUGUCAUGCAGACUUGUACUUUGGAUCCUUAUGCAAGUUGGUGUGCAAAACUGUAGGUUGGGAUCUCAGAUUGACAUCCUUGAUGUGUUACAAUGUUAUAUAUGCUGCCAUGUUUGAAUCUA